GAUGAACGCUGGCGGCGUGCCUAAUACAUGCAAGUCGAGCGAACGGACGAGAAGCUUGCUUCUCUGAUGUUAGCGGCGGACGGGUGAGUAACACGUGGAUAACCUACCUAUAAGACUGGGAUAACUUCGGGAAACCGUAGCUAAUACCGGAUAAUAUUUUGAACCGCAUGGUUCAAAAGUGAAAGACGGUCUUGCUGUCACUUGUAGAUGGAUCCGCGCUGCAUUAGCUAGUUGGUAAGGUAACGGCUUACCAAGGCAACGAUGCAUAGCCGACCUGAGAGGGUGAUCGGCCACACUGGAACUGAGACACGGUCCAGACUCCUACGGGAGGCAGCAGUAGGGAAUCUUCCGCAAUGGGCGAAAGCCUGACGGAGCAACGCCGCGUGAGUGAUGAAGGUCUUCGGAUCGUAAAACUCUGUUAUUAGGGAAGAACAUAUGUGUAAGUAACUGUGCACAUCUUGCCGGUACCUAAUCAGAAAGCCACGGCUAACUACGUG
rnacentral:rRNA from 1 species